ensembl:misc_RNA 7SK 7SK RNA
GGCCCUCUGAUCUGGCUGCGAUACCUGUCAUCCCAUUGAUCGCCAGGGUUGAUUCGGCUGAUAUGGCUGGCUAGGCAGGUGUCCCGUUCCUCUCUCACCACUCCAUGUGUGUCCCUCCUCCCCGAAGCUGUGUGCUCAGUCAAAGAGUACGGCCUUCCCCAAAUAGAGGUCUUCGGACUUCAGUCGAGGGUAGCUGCACUGCCCUGUUAGAACCUCCAAACAAGCUCUCAAAAUAGUCCCUCUGCUAACAGGCCCUUUACUUUUAGGGGAUCACCCCUUAACAGUGCUUUGAGGAGGAGUUGAGAAGAGUGCCAGUCCUUUCAUUCUUUGCCUUGAAGAUCUAGGACAAAAAAAU